CCCACAUCAUGGCGGACGAGCAACCAUCUGUAACUUCACUUCCAGGGAAUUUGAGUCCCUCCGCUGGCCGCUGCACAUAACAUGCACACAAAUGGAGUCCAGAUACACACGCAGGCAAAACACCCAGACACAUAAAAUUGAAUUACAAAGUCACCCAAGGCUCAGGGAACAUUUUAGAAUAGAGGGCAGAAAGAGUUUGCUCUGAAGAGCAUGUCUCCUUGGAAUGCCAGAAGAUAGAUCCAUGCAGUCUCGCCACUCAACCACCCAAACAGGAGCUGAACAGGACAGCAGUAGACAUGCUAAUGGGGACAAGGAAAAGCCCACGAGGCCUCAACCCUACACAGAGAACUGCAGGCCACUGAGGAAAGCCGAGAUCAGGAGAAGCAGCCUUCCCCAGGGAAGAGCACGCCAACUGCUUAUCCAAUACCAAAUGGUCAGCCCUGAACACAUACGGACAAGUAACACUCACACACUGAGCGGGUUGUAUUUGGGAACAUGCGUGUAUGUAACACCUGCAUGUCACAACUAAAGACCAAAGAGAACAGGAGUUUGAAAGGCGAGGGAUUAUGGGAAGGUUUGGAAGGAAGAGAAUGGAUACAUGAUAUCAUCUCAAAACCACCAUAUACUCAUUCAUAAAUUUCUUCAGUUAUCCAUGUAUCCAUUCAACUGUCUGCCCAUCUAUGCAUUUCUCUAUAUAUUAAUUUACCGAUGAGUCUCCCCACAUGGCCUUCUCUCCUGUCUCUCACCUAUCCCUUCACGUCAGUACGUUUAGAUGCACAUCAGUCGACUCCUUCAUUCCCUGAUCCACCUGGCCACUGAACUGACAGAACAUUUGUGCUGGGCAACAUUCUAGAUGCUUGGGGACUGGGGGGAGAGGGAGGGAGACUUCAACAAGUGUCCGGUGGAGGGUUACUCCAUAGUGUAAACACCGUGAAGGAAUGUGAGAAGUGGGGCAGGGUGAGGGGCCAUUCUCCCCCCCCCCCCGCCCCCAGGGUGGUCAGGCAUGUGGUGGUGGGUUCAAGGUGUCCACAUCUGGGAUAUAUCUCUCUCUCCAAGGAAGUGUCACACAGGAGAGAUUCGGAGGUGAGGGAGUGAGCGCCACGAGUGUCCAAGGUUGGCGCAGAAAUGGAAGGCCCUUCCUGAAAGGAAGGCUGCUGCCUUGGGGGAAGUGGGAGGAGCAGGUGCGGGGAGCCUUGGGAUUGGAGCUGAUCAAGGAAGGAACUGGACAAAAGGUGUCAGCGGUGUACAGUCUGCAGGCGGUGUGGACCAGUGCCGUCUGAUGGCCCUCAGCACCAAGGGCACUCAGAGCUGUGAAGGGCAACGAUGGUCAAGAAGGACCCUGGCAGCCCUCGACUUUGUCUCGGCUGAGAACCUAACAGUGAUUGGGUGGUGAUUUGUAGAGUAUGAGAAGCGGGCAAGGCAGUCACUGAGUUUCUAAAACUAAACUUAGGCUACACUUAAAGCAGUUGGAUGUGACAGAUUUUGCAUUUGUCUCUACUGGGCUUUGAGCCAAUAUGAAGCCAAUGAGAUGGGGGGGGGGGUCAACAGACAGGGUGAGUUCCCAGCACGAGGGGGCUGGAGAGAUGUACUCUAUACGGGUCAGCCAUGUCCCCAGCCUUACAGAGGCUCACAGCCCUCUACUGUAAACCCUUCUCCACCUCUCCUCCACUAUCUAUGGGUGACGGCCAAGUCUGCCAGGUUCCAUCAUCCCCCUUGAGCGUCAUCUCAGGCAAGGAAGUGAGUGUCAUGAUUACAAGUGUACAUCACACCUAGAAAGGCUGGGGUCUCUGUGGCUCAUAGGAGCUGUGUCCUAGAAAGGUAGAUCUUGAGGUAGACCAGCAGAUGAAAGCAGCUUCAGACAGCAGUGACUGAAGUGUGGGUAGCCUAGAGGCCUUGGUGGCUUUGCAUGAGUGGGAGGCAGAGGGAAAGGGACAAAAGUGGCCCUGGAGGCUCUGCCACUAGAGCUGGGUCUGCUUGAAUCUGGAUAGUGAGCCCAGGGGGACCAGUUGCCUUGGCCUGUGGUCUAUCAGUUACCAGCCAUGGCACCCUUCCCUCUCAAAUCUUCUGACAUGUUAGUGCCUCCUUCCCAGGUUGACAGAACACUCAGGAUACACAUGGCUCUAAGCACCAAAUGCCCUGUCACUAGGUGGCCUCCCUGGCCGCGGUGGCCAGCGUGCUGCAGUCAUGGGACCUGAGCCUCACAGAAGCUAUGCUCAAGAACAUGGAGGCAGAGCAGCAGCGCCGUGCUCAGGAGGCCCAGAAGCACAAGGAGAACGAGGCCAAGCGCAUCAACAUCAAGGUGCAGCAGCUGGCUAAGGAGCAGCAGAAGUGUCAAAAGGAGGUGAUCUGUGACCCAGGCCUCCCUGCAGGAAGGAGAGCCACGGGGAGGGCCUGAGAGAUCGGGGAGGGGGUGAGUUGCUGGGGUCUGUAAAGCCUCUCUGCCACCAGCUCCAGCAGGCCUACUGUGAGCUCAAUCGGAGGAUCAUGGAACAUGACAAGUGUGAGAGGAAGUUCAUGGGCAAUACCGAACUCACACUACAGGCCAUCAAGGAUGCAGAGGCCCAAGUGGACAGAUUGCAGCAAGAGGCACAGAAGGCUGAGGAGACACUGGCCAUGGCCAGGCUGGAGCUGCGGGAACAGACUCCGGAGGACGAGGAUACAGAACCUGGGCUCAAGUGCCGGGUCACGGAGCUCCAUGACGUGCUGAUGAAGGACGUAGGGGAUCGCAUCCGAGCCGAUGGACGGUCAGUACCCAGGCUGGGUGUGGGUAGGAGUCAGAGGGGCCCAUAGACUGCAGUGACCAGGUGGCUGCCUUCAGGUGGCCUCUUGUCAUCGACCCUUCUGGCCAGGCAGCCACUUUCUUGAGAUACCAGGACACCAACUAUGUGGACACCCUAAAUCCGGAGCACUUGAGACCUGAGAGGAUUCGGCUGGCUCUCCUGGGGGCACUCAGGUGUGUCAGGCAGGGCCCAGGACAGCCCCGCCCUGGGCCUUACCUGCCUCCUCACCAGACACACCUACAGGUACGGGAAGCCACUGGUGUUUGACCUGCGUCAAGUGAACCUGUUCCCAGUAGUACAGCAACAGCUGGAGGUCGUGCAGACUGGCCUGGCACAGGCCCUGUUGAAUCGUGGGCUGCUGGCAAAGGAAGGGUAUCUGUCACUGCUUCGGCCAACAGAUGGACCUGAGUAUGACCCCUCCCAGUUCCAAGAGGCUCGCCUAGAGAACUUCCGCCUCUUCUUUGUCACCCAAGUUAAGUGGCCCCCAGCUGACCAGCUGCAGACCCUGCUCCCAGUGCGUGUGCAGAUGCCCAGUGGAAGGUUCUAGUCACACCCCAAUAAAGCGUGUGCCCACGGCAUUUAUGUGCACA
rnacentral:lncRNA from 1 species